rnacentral:rRNA from 1 species
UACGGAGGAUCCGAGCGUUAUCCGGAUUUAUUGGGUUUAAAGGGAGCGUAGGUGGAUUGUUAAGUCAGUUGUGAAAGUUUGCGGCUCAACCGUAAAAUUGCAGUUGAAACUGGCAGUCUUGAGUACAGUAGAGGUGGGCGGAAUUCGUGGUGUAGCGGUAAAAUGCGUAGAUAUAUGGAAGAACACCAGUGGCGAAGGCGGCCGCCUGGCCUGUUGCUGACGCUGAGGCACGAAAGCGUGGGGAGCAAAUAGG